UGUGCACAGUUGGGUGAGUUGGGGCAUUCUCAGACACGGGGAAACCAUCACCACCAUCAGGGCAGUUCCAAUUCUUGAGACAUUUUCCUUCUUCCUCCCUUAUUUCAGAGACUACUCAUGACCAUUUGCCAAAGGCACACCAGUUCUGUCUGCAGUUUUUCAACCUCAGCACUAAAGACACAGAUCAGCAUUGUAGUGGAACAAUUCGAAAUGACCCUAAAUAAAAAAGCACCAGCAGCUGGCAGGAUGCUUUGCUAUAAGCCAUAAACAUCGAUUGCUCAGCCACUGUAAGAACUGAAGGAUAGCUUCCUGCUUGAAAUGUGGAAAUAUUUGCGUUUAGAUAAAAAGAACUUCCACGAGAACGAUAAGGACAUUCUAAUCCAAGGAAAGAUGGUGGAAUCGGCUUCAUUCUUGAUGCAUCCGAGCCUCUGUCUACAUUCCCCUCCUUCCUGAAUUUAGUGGUGGGGGGGGUCUGCGGUUCUGGCUAACUGGCUUUCCUGAUUAAUUGCACACUGAAAAUGGAAUGUGUUAAACACCGUUUGUAAUAAAACUCAGGUGAAGAAAUUUAAUUCUUCCUUGAUGAUCUAGAAAUGUUCAUAAUUAAGACCAGCAAUUAUGUAAAUGGUUUAAAAAACGUGUGGCUAUUUGAAUGGAUGAC